UACGGAGGGUGCAAGCGUUAUCCGGAUUCACUGGGUUUAAAGGGUGCGUAGGUGGGCUUGUAAGUCAGUGGUGAAAUCUCCGUGCUUAACAUGGAAGCUGCCAUUGAUACUAUGGGUCUUGAAUUAUCUGGAGGUUAGCGGAAUAUGUCAUGUAGCGGUGAAAUGCUUAGAUAUGACAUAGAACACCAAUUGCGAAGGCAGCUGGCUACAGGUACAUUGACGCUGAGGCACGAAAGCGUGGGGAGCAAACAGG
rnacentral:rRNA from 1 species